CGCGUUGCAGGAGGCCCUGACACGCGGUCCACACCCCGGCCGCCGGGACCGCGCCGAGCCACUGGCGAGACCGACCUGCCCGUUC
rfam:Chloroflexi bacterium RBG_16_70_13 RBG_16_scaffold_9975, whole genome shotgun sequence.